rnacentral:rRNA from 1 species
UACGAAGGGGGCUAGCGUUGUUCGGAAUCACUGGGCGUAAAGGGCUCGUAGGCGGCCAACUAAGUCAGACGUGAAAUCCCCAGGCUUAACCUGGGAACUGCGUCUGAUACUGGAUGGCUUGAAUUCGGGAGAGGGAUGCAGAAUUCCAGGUGUAGCGGUGAAAUGCGUAGAUAUCUGGAGGAAUACCGGUGGCGAAGGCGGCAUCCUGGACCGAGAUUGACGCUGAUGAGCGAAAGCUAGGGGAGCAAACGGG